CCUACGGGUGGCAGCAGUGAGGAAUAUUGGUCAAUGGACGAAAGUCUGAACCAGCCAAGCAGCGUGCAGGAUGACGGCCCUAUGAGUUGUAAACUGCUUUUGUAAAAGGGUAAACCCAGACACGUGUACCGUGUUGCAAGUAUCGUAUGAAUAAGGAUCGGCUAACUCCGUGCCAGCAGCCGCGGUAAUACGGAGGAUCCAAGCGUUAUCCGGAUUUAUUGGGUUUAAAGGGUGCGUAGAUGGUUCGUUAAGUUAGUUGUGAAAUCCCGGGGCUCAACUGCGGCAUUGCCAUUGAUACUGUCGGGCUAGAGUAUAGUUGAGGUAGGCGGAAUGUGUGGUGUAGCGGUGAAAUGCUUAGAGAUCAUGCAGAACCCCGAUUGCGAAGGCAGCUUACCAAACUGCGACUGACGUUGAUGCACGAAAGUGUGGGGAGCAAACAGGAUUAGAUACCCUUGUAGUC
rnacentral:rRNA from 1 species